rnacentral:rRNA from 1 species
ACGCUGGCGGCGUGCCUAAUACAUGCAAGUAGAACGCUGAAGGAGGAGCUUGCUUCUCCGGAUGAGUUGCGAACGGGUGAGUAACGCGUAGGUAACCUGCCUGGUAGCGGGGGAUAACUAUUGGAAACGAUAGCUAAUACCGCAUAAGAGUAGAUGUCGCAUGACAUUUGCUUAAGAGGUGCAAUUGCAUCACUACCAGAUGGACCUGCGUUGUAUUAGCUAGUUGGUGGGGUAACGGCUCACCAAGGCGACGAUACAUAGCCGACCUGAGAGGGUGAUCGGCCACACUGGGACUGAGACACGGCCCAGACUCCUACGGGAGGCAGCAGUAGGGAAUCUUCGGCAAUGGACGGAAGUCUGACCGAGCAACGCCGCGUGAGUGAAGAAGGUUUUCGGAUCGUAAAGCUCUGUUGUAAGAGAAGAACGAGUGUGAGAGUGGAAAGUUCACACUGUGACGGUAUCUUACCAGAAAGGGACGGCUAACUACGUGCCAGCAGCCGCGGUAAUACGUAGGUCCCGAGCGUUGUCCGGAUUUAUUGGGCGUAAAGCGAGCGCAGGCGGUUAGAUAAGUCUGAAGUUAAAGGCUGUGGCUUAACCAUAGUACGCUUUGGAAACUGUUUAACUUGAGUGCAAGAGGGGAGAGUGGAAUUCCAUGUGUAGCGGUGAAAUGCGUAGAUAUAUGGAGGAACACCGGUGGCGAAAGCGGCUCUCUGGCUUGUAACUGACGCUGAGGCUCGAAAGCGUGGGGAGCAAACAGGAUUAGAUACCCCUGGUAGUCCACGCCGUAAACGAUGAGUGCUAGGUGUUAGACCCUUUCCGGGGUUUAGUGCCGCAGCUAACGCAUUAAGCACUCCGCCUGGGGAGUACGACCGCAAGGUUGAAACUCAAAGGAAUUGAC